GAUGUUUUGGUAAACACUUGAAUGACUAGAAAAAUGUGCAAUUCCAUUUCCCACCAUUUCAUUCCCCUUUAAUAAGCACGCCAUUAUUUUCCACAAACUCAAAGUUCGGAGAGAAAUAAAGUAGACUCUUAAAAGUUGGACUCUCUAUAGACUCUCUGUCACCUCAUGUUUUUGGCAUAAUAUUUUAUAAUGUUGCCACAUUAGUUGACGAUAAAUUAUGAGGUGGCAGAGAGUCCAUAGAGAGUCUCACUCUCUCUCUCCCUCUCUCUCCCCCAACUUUCUCUGAUGCCGACCAACCUCUUUCUAAAAUUCCCCCUCUUCCUCUGCUAACUACCUUUAGGGAGCGAGAGUUGCAACGACAUCAUUUUUCAGCCGAAUCUCGUAUCUCUCAGCAGCCGCCAUAGACGAAAGUUGACAUGGGUGGUCAAUGGUAGACUACGAUGAAUCAAAAAUUCGAUUGAAAAGCUUCAAAUUUUGGAUCUACGGUUGCAAACACCACCAUUUUUUGGAUUUGUUCCCGACUCUUUUCCCAUCUAUCUUUGUGGCAUAAAGGUAUUAUUGAUACAAAACUUGGAUUCCUGAUGGACACCAUUUCCAAGAAUUUAAUUACCUCAUCUCAGCCAAGAAUUCGACUCCGGCCAUUUCAGGAAUUGAGUUCCUGAUUUCAUGCGAGUCCUACCUAUUUUUUUAAUCUUGAUGUUUUGGUAAACACUUGAAUGACUAGGAAAAUGUGCAAUUCCGUUUCCCACCAUUUCAUUCCCCUUUAGUAAACACGUCAUCAUUUUCCACAAACUCAAAGUUCAUAGAGAAAUGAAGGGGACUCUCAAAAGUUGGACUCUCUAUAGACUCUCUGUCAUCUCAUGUUUUUUGCACAAUAUUUUAUAAUGUUGCUACGUGAGUUGACGAUAAACUAUGAGGUGGUAGAGAGUCCAUAGAGAGUCUCACUCUAAGAAAGUCUCUUUAGCAUUCUUUAAAUCUGGAUUUACCAAACUUUGGAAAGGAGAUGAUUGCCAUUCUCGAGACUCAUUUUUCAUUCUCAAUCCUCAUUUCUCACAUACUAAAUACAAUCUGAGAGGUGUGGGAGUGGGCAAUACCUCACAAUUGAUUAGUCAUAAUAAUUUGAUUCAUAUUCAUAUUUGGCGCUAACUAAACUUAAGACCUUUCACUUAAAAGUAAAGAGAAAUAUCAUUAAAUUGUAAUAACAUACUUAUUUUAUAUAUUAGACUGUCCAUAAGAAGAAAAAGAAGAAAAUAUUACAAAUCAAUAAUUAUAAGGCAGAAUGUUGGGAAGACAUCUACAUUUUUGGCAUCUACUUGUUUCUCAUUUAAUUAGUCCUCCCAAUUGGUUUGAUAAAUGAGAGAGUAACAUCACAUACAAAUGUUCAAAUGCAUGUCAUCAUAAUUUUGGUACGAAGGGAAUGGAUAUAGGAAGUUUCGAUGACACUGCCCCCAUACCCCUCAUAGAUGCUGCUCCAAAACUUAUCUCAUAUUCUUGUUUUGUGCCAUCAAGCCAAAUAUGACGUAUAUAACUUGAUGGGAGGUCAGAAUGGAUCCUUAAUUUUUUUUUUCUUAAAUGGGGAUUAGUUGUGGGACCCAUACCACAUCAAACUUUAACGAUCCGAAUGGUUUAUUUUUAAAGUUGCACUUCUUAGAUCAUCAUUGCAAAAUAUUAGCCAAAUCAGAAAUAUUUGAGACAUCUAAUUGAGUUCACAAAAAUUGACGAACACUUUCUUCUAUAAGAAACAAUGAAAUUUUAUUGUGAAAAUUAAAUAGGCAAAUAGUUUCGAAUUGAAUUGAAUUUUUGUAAAGAUGAUCUAUGAAUCGAGACUUACAAAAUAGACUGUUCAGAUCGUUAAAGUUCAAUGUAGAGUGGGUCCCACAACUAAUCCUCAUUUUCUAAACAAAAUGGAGUUCCUUUCUGUUAAAGGACCUGUAAGUUUUAUAACGCCUGCAUGUUGUUUUAUGUCAAUAAUGUAAUGACGUGUAUAAUAUUUGCUGAUUUUAGUCCUUGAAUUAUCAUCUUAAUGAAAAUUAGGUCCAUAAAUUAUUUUUUGGUAAUAUAAGUCCCUAAAUUCAGAAAAACUGCCUAUUUCAUCCAUGAUAUUAUAUCCAAAGCUAUUUUAUCCAAUUUUUCAUCAAUUUA
rnacentral:lncRNA from 1 species